rnacentral:rRNA from 1 species
UACGGAGGGUGCAAGCGUUAUCCGGAUUCACUGGGUUUAAAGGGUGCGUAGGUGGGUCUGUAAGUCAGUGGUGAAAUCUUCGAGCUUAACUCGGAAACUGCCAUUGAUACUAUAGAUCUUGAAUUUUCUGGAGGUAAGCGGAAUAUGUCAUGUAGCGGUGAAAUGCUUAGAUAUGACAUAGAACACCGAUUGCGAAGGCAGCUUACUACGGGAACAUUGACACUGAGGCACGAAAGCGUGGGGAUCAAACAGG